GAAAUGCGAUAAGUAAUGUGAAUUGCAGAAUUCAGUGAAUCAUCGAAUCUUUGAACGCACAUUGCGCCCUUUGGCAUUCCGAAGGGCAUGCCUGUUCGAGCGUCAUUACACCACUCAAGCCUGGCUUGGUCUUGGGCGCCGCGCUUCGGCGCGCGCCCCAAUGUCUCCGGCCGAGCGUCCGUCUCCAAGCGUUGUGCAAACACCCGCUGGCGAGUACGGGGGCUCCGCGCCGUUAAACCGGGCUCCGGCCCACUCUCAGGUUGACCUCGGAUCAGGUAGGGAUACCCGCUGAACUUAA
rnacentral:misc_RNA from 1 species